UCAAAUGCAUAGAGAUCUGACUGCCUCUGCUUCCCGGGAGCUGGGAAUAAAGUUUUGCUUAACCACACCCAGCCCUUACUGAUUUAUUUUUGAGACAGGGUCUCAUGUAGCUCAGGCCAACCUUGAAGUACCUAUGUAGUUGAAAUUGGCCUUAAUGUCUAAUUUCUCUUGCCUCUUACCUGCAAAGUUCUGGGUGAAGAGUGACUGAGUGAGGCACCUAAUAAAGACACACAUGUGUAAAUGAAUGCAUGAAUGUACAUAGACACACAUGUACACACCCCACACAAGCAUGCAUGCAUAUGGUGCACAUACCCAUGCACACACACAAGAACUAUUUGUCUGUUGUUUUGGUGCUGGAAUGAAAGCCAGGGAUUGGUGGCCAGUAGGCAAGCAUUUUACCAGGGAGCUAUGCUCCGGGCCCCACCAUUUGUUAUCUGUUUGUUUGUUGUUUGUGAGACAGGGUUUCUCUACAUAGCCCUGGCUGCCUUGGAACUCAUUCUGUAGACAAAACUGAUCUAGAAUUCACAGAUAUUCACUUGCCUGCCUCUACUUCCUGAGUGCUGGAUUAAAGGCGUGUGCCACCACACCCGGCCUCAGAAGUCUUUUAGGAUGGUUGUAAACCACCAUGUGGUUGCUGGGAUUUGAACUCAGGACCUUUGGAAGAGCAGUCUGUGCUUUUAACCGCUGAGCCAUCUCUCCAGCCCCUGAAAUUUUUAAAAUUACAUUCAUGUAUUUAUUUGUGGGAGGAUGGGGUGGAUGUGUGCAUGUGACAGGGAGCAGGUGUGAUGGAGAGCAGAGGACUUGUCGGAGUUGGUUCUUUCUUCUACUGUGUGGGCUCUGGAAGUGGAACUCAGGGGAUCACAAUUGGCAGCACCACCCUCUGCCCAGGUGCGCUGAGCCCUCUCAUAUACCACCAAGCCAUCUUCCUGGACUCAGAAAUGCAGUCAAAAGUUUUUUGUGUUUUUUCUUUUAAGAUAUUUUAUUUUUGGUUUAUGUCUAUGAAGUUUUUGCCUGCAUGUGUCUAUGUAUCUGGAGUGCCCAGUACCAGGAGAGGCCAGAAGAAGGUGUCAAGAUUCCCUGGAAGUGGAGUUACAGAUGGUUGUGAGCUGCCAUGUGGGUGCUUGGAAUGGAAACUGUAUCCUCUAAAAGAGAAGUCAGUGCUCUUAACCACUGAACCAGUUCUUCAGCUCUAGAAAUGCAUUUUUAGUUUUAACUAUUAAAUGCCUAAGAAGUAAAAGUCUCUGAUGGUGUGCCAUAUGUCUGUAAUUCUGAAAUGCUGUGGCAGGAGAAUAGAACAUUCCAGACUAGCCUGGGCUACAUUGUAAGAUUCUAUCUCAAUAACAAACACAAAAUAAAAGAAAG
rnacentral:lncRNA from 1 species